rnacentral:rRNA from 1 species
AUUGAACGCUGGCGGCAGGCCUAACACAUGCAAGUCGAGCGGAUGAAGGGAGCUUGCUCCUGGAUUCAGCGGCGGACGGGUGAGUAAUGCCUAGGAAUCUGCCUGGCAGUGGGGGAUAAUGUCCGGAAAAGGGCGCUACUACUGCCUACGUCCUGCGGGUGAAAGUGGGGGAUCUUCGGAACUCUCGCUAUCAGAUGAGCCUAGGUCGGAUUAGCUAGCUGGUGGGGUAAAGGCCUACCAAGGCGACGAUCCGUAACUGGUCUGAGAGGAUGAUCAGUCACACUGGAGCUGAGACGCGGUCCAGACUCCUACGGGAGGCAGCAGUGGGGAAUGUUGGACAAUGGGCGAAAGCCUGAUCCAGCCAGGCCGCGUGUGUGAAGAAGGUCUUCGGAUUGUAAAGCACUUUUAGUUGGGAGGAAGGGCAUUAAGUUAAUACCUUGCUGGUUUGACGUUACCGACAGAAGAAGCACCGGCUAACUACGUG